rnacentral:tRNA from 1 species
GCAGACAUAAUUUAAACCAAAAUAUUAAGCUGUGGACUUAAAAACAAAGCCUCAACAUCUUUUGCCUGCC